CCUACGGGGUGCAGCAGUGGGGAAUAUUGCACAAUGGGCGCAAGCCUGAUGCAGCCAUGCCGCGUGUAUGAAGAAGGCCUUCGGGUUGUAAAGUACUUUCAGCGGGGAGGAAGGUGUUGUGGUUAAUAACCACAACAAUUGAUGUUACCCGCAGAAGAAGCACCGGCUAACUCCGUGCCAGCAGCCGCGGUAAUACGGAGGGUGCAAGCGUUAAUCGGAAUUACUGGGCGUAAAGCGCACGCAGGCGGUCUGUCAAGUCGGAUGUGAAAUCCCCGGGCUCAACCUGGGAACUGCAUUCGAAACUGGCAGGCUAGAGUCUUGUAGAGGGGGGUAGAAUUCCAGGUGUAGCGGUGAAAUGCGUAGAGAUCUGGAGGAAUACCGGUGGCGAAGGCGACCCCCUGGACAAAGACUGACGCUCAGGUGCGAAAGCGUGGGGAGCAAACAGGAUUAGAUACCCGCGUAGUC
rnacentral:rRNA from 1 species